CCUCUGCAGAGUAUACCUCAAAGACUUUCCUGGAGCAGUAGAAGUAUUUAACAUCACCAGCCUGAUAAAAGAAAUGCACCGAGGAGCCAUCACCCAGGGCUGUCUGCUGCUUCUCUAGGAUGUCUUUAACCAUCUUCUCAACUGCUGCCUGUGUCAGAGGAACGUCUUCAGGAACACUCUUUGCAGAUGGGUCCCAACAUAAAUGACCUGAUGGGCCUCUCCUGAAGGACACGUUGAUUCUCCCAGGGGGAAAAAUGUUUCCUUCAUGCUGAUAGCCUGAAUAGUAACCAUAGAUAUGAACAAUUUACAUAAAUAAAUAUAUAAAAGCAUUUACAUAGUUAUGCAUAAUGUUUUUUAAAGUAAAAUUAUGGUAACUGAUUCUUUUAAAAUGACGACAGUUUUCAUGCUAUAGUAAAA
ensembl:lncRNA